GCGGUAUAGCCAAGUGGUAAGGCAAGGGUCUGCAAAACCCUCAUUCACCGGUUCAAAUCCGGUUACCGC
rnacentral:tRNA from 2 species